UACAGAGGUCUCAAGCGUUGUUCGGAUUCAUUGGGCGUAAAGGGUGCGUAGGCGGCGCGGUAAGUCGGGUGUGAAAUCUCGGAGCUUAACUCCGAAACUGCAUUCGAUACUGCCGUGCUUGAGGACUGGAGAGGAGACUGGAAUUUACGGUGUAGCGGUGAAAUGCGUAGAUAUCGUAAGGAAGACCAGUGGCGAAGGCGGGUCUCUGGGACAGUUCCUGACACUGAGACACGAAGGCCAGGGGAGCAAACGGG
rnacentral:rRNA from 1 species